AAGAAACCAACAGGGAUUGCCCCAGUAGCGGCGAGUGAAGCGGCAAGAGCUCAGAUUUGAAAUCGUGUUUCGGCACGAGUUGUAGGGUGUAGGCGGGAGUCUCUGUGGAGCGCGGUGUCCAAGUCCCUUGGAACAGGGUGCCUGAGAGGGUGAGAGCCCCGUAGGGUGCUGCGCGAAGCUUUUGAGGCCCUGCUGACGAGUCGAGUUGUUUGGGAAUGCAGCUCCAAGCGGGUGGUAAAUUCCAUCUAAGGCUAAAUAUUGGCGAGAGACCGAUAGCGAACAAGUACUGUGAAGGAAAGAUGAAAAGCACUUUGAAAAGAGAGUGAAACAGCACGUGAAAUUGUUGAAAGGGAAGGGUAUUGGGCUCGACAUGGGGGGUGCGCACCGCUGUCUCUUGUAGGCGGCGCUCUGGGCGCCCUCUGGGCCAGCAUCGGUUCCUGCUGCGGGAGAAGGGGCUCCGGAAAGUGGCUCUUCGGAGUGUUAUAGCCGGGGCCAGAUGCCGCGUGUGGGGACCGAGGACUGCGGCUUCUGUCUCGGAUGCUGGCAUAACGGCGCAAUACCGCCCGUCUUGAAACACGGACC
rnacentral:rRNA from 1 species